AUCCUGCUGCGCUGCCGCUGAGAGGAAGAGGGAGCUGCCCAGCGGCCUCACGCUGUAACCCUCUGCUCACCCGACAGCUACAAGAACGCCACGAAGCUGUUGUACGGCGCACAAUGGAAAGGAGCCAGAAGCCAAAACAGAAGCAUAACCGUUGGUCGUGGGGAGGCUCUCUCCAUGGGAGCCCUAGCAUCCACAGUGCAAUCCAGACAGGCGGUCAGUUUCCACCAUGAAUCUUUCGAAAUAUGUUGAUCCCGUCAUUAGCAAGCGGCUCUCCUCUUCAUCUGCAACUUUACUAAAUUCUCCAGAUAGACUCGCCGCCUGCAGCUCAGCCCAUGGGAGAGCAGCGUUGUUAACAGACUCCUGACGCCCACACAUUCGUUCCUGGCCAGAAGUAAAAGCACAGCUGCCUUGUCUGGAGAAGCACAUCUUGCAGCCCCAUCAUCAUGCCCUACAAAGCUGCACACUCUAGAAAUUCGAUGGAUCGACCAAAACUCUUUGUAACACCACCUGAGGGCUCUUCUCGCAGGAGGAUCAUUCAUGGCACAGCAGCUAUAAAAAAGAAAGAGAGAGAGAAAAUGUACUCUUCCUCACAUCUGGCACCCGAAGGGCUGUAUCUCCAUCUAAUCCCAAAGCAAGACAACCAGCUCGCUCCCGACUUUGCUUCCGUCCAAGUCUCUUCCUCAUUUGCCUGGCACACCCAGACCGACAUCCUCCUUGCCACCCGGCUCAGUCAAAGCUGCUCCUGCUCAGGUCCGGCCCCCAUCCCCCGGCAACAUCCGCCCUGUCAAGAGGGAAGUCAAAGUGGAGCCUGAGAAGAAAGAUCCU
rnacentral:lncRNA from 1 species